GACGAACGCUGGCGGCGCGCCUAAUACAUGCAAGUAGAACGCUGAAGGAGGAGCUUGCUUCUCUGGAUGAGUUGCGAACGGGUGAGUAACGCGUAGGUAACCUGCCUGGUAGCGGGGGAUAACUAUUGGAAACGAUAGCUAAUACCGCAUAAGAGUAGAUGUUGCAUGACAUUUGCUUAAAAGGUGCAAUUGCAUCACUACCAGAUGGACCUGCGUUGUAUUAGCUAGUUGGUGAGGUAACGGCUCACCAAGGCAACGAUACAUAGCCGACCUGAGAGGGUGAACGGCCACACUGGGACUUGAACACGGCCCAGACUACUACGAGAGGCAGCAGUAGGGAAUCUUCGGCAAUGGACGGAAGUCUGACCGAGCAACGCCGCGUGAGUGAAGAAGGUUUUCGGAUCGUAAAGCUCUGUUGUAAGAGAAGAACGAGUGUGAGAGUGGAAAGUUCACACUGUGACGGUAUCUUACCAGAAAGGGACGGCUAACUACGUG
rnacentral:rRNA from 1 species